rnacentral:lncRNA from 1 species
GUCAAGUGAUAAGUAGCAAGCAAACAUUCUCAGUGGUAGAGAACCCUGAAAUAAAAGCUUCUGUCACUUAACUCCAUAAUUCCUUCCUGAUGAAUGCCAUGUGCUGACAUCUGCUACUGUAUGGAGAUUCCUACUUCUCUGAAGACAGUUAUCUUUCCCAGUAUGUCUAAGGUUCAAGGGAACUUUUCCUCAAGCUCACAAGUCUGUCUCCUGCCCCACAUUGCAGCAGCCUGGAGGACCAGCAGAAAGAAAAAUGUUGGGAGCUUCUUAUGGUCUAUUUUCUAAGCCAAGAUGUGGCUUUACCAAUAUUUUCAACUUGUCUGUAUUCAGAGCACAGAUUUAAGGAUCAGUCUGCCAAGAAGAAAGAAAAUAGAGGAACUGCAGAUUUGUCUCUAUCCUGAUUGCUGCAGGCUCCCUUGACCCACUUUAGCUCUAAAGCCUAUUCCUGGUAUUGCUCCAACUUGGUUCUUGCUACAUCUCCAACUCUUAGUCAAUCAAAAUUUCGUAAGGGCAGCUCUUGUGUCUACCCAGUCUGAACCCUUUGGAUUUCCUUGGACAGCUUGUGGUCUUUUGUCCAGACCUCGUGUACUGUGAAAUCCCAGAAGAGGCUACAAAAGCAAUUCAGGAAGCUAUCUUCAAAUCAGCACAGGCUUUUCUUCUUGGAUGAUGCCACAAAACAGGUCCCCAGCUUUGAACUGCCAGGAGCACUGCUGCAAUGACUCCCCACCUUGACAGACUGGUUACCCCAUUUUGAGAGGCUUGCCUGGUGGCUUUUGGUACGCAUUGCUGCUUGAGUUGAACUGUCUCUGUAUAAGUGAAGAGCAGUACUGCAGCAGGUUCAAGUCCUUGACUGGGUCUUCAGUUAUCCCAAGAGUAGCACAGACAUACAGCAUGCAUGAGGCAUUCCCAAGAGCAGUUCUAUUAGCACAGACCAGAUGCUUUGAAGAAAUCAUAAAAAUGAAAAUCCAACCAGAGGUAAAGGGAUGCAGAAGAAAAAUCUCACCGGUUUCCUUUCCCUGGAGGAUCCACUGCCUCACUUGGUUUCAAAGAAGCCUUGUAUCUCAGAAGCUUUUCCUUUCAUCACAAACCGUAUCAGCACUUACUGUCCUCUAG